GCCUUUGUGGCUUAAAGGUAGCGCACUCGGCGUGUAUUCGAAAGGUCCAAGUUUGAGUCCUGGCGACGGCA
rnacentral:tRNA from 1 species